rnacentral:lncRNA from 1 species
AAGGCCUCCGUGCUCCUGAGCCGUUUUCAAUGAUGGAAUUUUCGAAUCAACGAUCGGCUCCGUUAGACUUGAUCUAGCGUAUUUAAAGUUUCUAGAAAAUAAUUUUUGCGAUUUUUUGAUAUCAUUUACCUAGCAAUCGAAAGGAUUCAAAAUCAAUAUUUUUUAACGGCUGAAAAUAAAAAUUCUAUAAAAGGUGGUGAUAUAGCACUAAAUUUUUCGAUCAGAAAUAUUGAUCUUGUUGUCGAUAGUAUAAAGAAUUUUGUAUCAAAAUUUCAUCUGAUUUGAAUACUUCUACACUGUUAAACUUGAAAACGGUAGAUAUCAACCAUUAAAAAUUAUUGAUUUGAAUCCUUCCGAUCACUAGGUAAAUGAUAUCAAAAAAUCGCAAAAAUUAUUUUCUAGAAACUUCAAAUAUGCUAGAUCAAGUCUAACGGAGCCGAUCGUGGAUUCGAAAAUUCCAUCAUCGAAAACAGCUUAGGAGCACGGAGGCCUGAGAGCACAGCAGCCCUGCUAUAUAUAUAUAUAUAUAUAUAUAUAUAUAUAGAGAGAGAGAACUAGAAUUCGACGAGGAGGGGAAGUUGGGAGAGGUGGUUGCCCGAAGAUGAGAGAGAGAGAGUUGACUAGAAUACUAUCGGUAGCAAACGGGCUCCGUUGCCACCUAUUUGUUUUCGAUGAUGGAGCCUCCAAAUCGACGAUUGACACUGUUAAACAUAAUUUAUACCACUUGAAGUAUCUAAAAACCAAAUUUCAAAUAUUUUUGACAAUAUUAACCUAAUGAUCAAAGGGUUUCAAAUUUAUAAUUUUAAUGGUCGAUAUUGUCACACCCCGCAUUACCACGUUUCUCCGGACACGGCAACAGACCCGCCAUAUACAAAAGAAUUUUUCCUGUAUACGAAGCGAUAGUUGUACCUGUACCUGUAAUCAUACAAAACUACAACUACUAGUAUAGAGCUGCUAAUAGAACUGUAAACAUAUAUAAAUAACACCAGGUUCACUAUACAUAUAUAGUCUCCAAGAUACAGACAUCACUCGCUUUAGUGAGUACCAGCAUAAGUAUGUACAGGAACCAAAAUCCAAAACUACCUGUAGAUGGUACUCCUCGAGAACUGCAACUAGGGAAGGGAUCUAACUCGCGACUCCCUUUGCAUGAUCAGUAUCAGCGACAGCAGCAGCCGCAGAAAAAUGCUCUACAAAAAGGGAUCAACAACGGGGUGUGAGAACUACUACAAAAAGUAGUCCUCAGUGGGUACCGCUAUCGACCUCACCGGCUCACCCAUUAAGUCUACAGAAUGGUAUGCAAGAGAUAGUAAGGAAAGCUGGAAACCCUACAGCUAUAUGCCCCUAUACUAUCACUAACCAACUCUAGCUAUCUGUAGAUAUGCAUCCCCUGCAACAACGACUAUACUGUCAAAGUACUGCCAACAGGCCCAUCCCGCCUGCGUUUGAGCAAUACCGCACACUACCAUUGAGGUAGCUGGUCCUAAAGCACCGUCCAAACAGGACUACUGCGACAACAACGCAAAAGCACAAAGCCCGACUCCGGAGUAGCACUGGUGGGCGCUACCCAACCGAGUAUGCAAGCGUGUCUUUGCCGAGCUCAAUCAGGCUUUCAUAGGCUAUAAUCAAAGCAAAUGGGUCUAACUGGACUAACAACCAAAUCUCACAUGCCCUCGGCACAAUCUGAUGCAAAUACAGAAAUCUGGGUCCACCGUCCACCGCGACGGCGCCCGACAGUCCGGAACAGUCUACACACUACUGUAAAAAUAAACUCGGCAUCUCAGCACGAGCGUAAACUCAUCCUACACUAAUCUGGGCAUCCAUCACAUACUAACAACGACGAUACAAAUAAACCACAGCUCCUAAAGCUAAAUAUGGUAAUUUUCAGAAAGUGACAGCGUAGGAUCUAUAUGUUUUCUCCUAAAUCAAUUCCAAAUUCAACAUGUAAAAUUAAACUACUAGCUUAACUCCAAAUUCAGAUUUAAACACUAAUCUAUGAAUUCGAGUACUAGCAAAGAAAAUACACAAAUAAUACAUGUCGACGCUAUAAAAACUUAGGAGGUAUUCCGGCGAAUUCGGUAAACUUCAACCCACCUCGAAACGCUAAUCCAACCACAGCGAGAAGUUGAAAGGAGAGGAAAUCACGCGCUCACCCGGCCUCCAACGGCACAACCGCGACGUCCACACGCUCGAACGGCUCUCCGGCGCAACGUCGACGUCGAUCCGAGCUCAAGCCGUGGCCUCCACCAAGCACACAAUUAACACUUGAGAGAGAGAGGAACUUAAUUAAGCAAACUACUCUCCCAUAGCUACUCUCCCUCAUUUUCGGAAUUGCUCAUAUUGAGCAACCCGAACUCUCAAAUCGAAAAGAUUUGAAAAGUAUUUAUCUUCAAAAUAAUUUUUAAUUUUGAAAUGUAAACCGUUAAACGUCAUUUUGGCAAAUUUUGACUCCGGCAUUAUUACAAAGCAACGGCUCUUAGCUGUUUUGAAUCAGUUUAAAUAUUCUUCAACCGAUUCCCCUGUUUUUUGCCUAAAUUGGGCAAGAUCAGCUACUGACAAUUCUGGCUCUGAUCUAUAAAAUUGUUCAUAGAACUUUCUCUCUAAUUCAUCCCAAUCUUGGACAGAAUUAGUCGGUAGACUCGUAUACCAAGUAAAAGUUGUCUUGGUUAAAGAAGUAUUAAAUAAUCUUAAUUUUAAAAACGGAUCCGCCGCGGCUUUCCGGCACUGUGCCGUAAACCGUGCAACAUGUUCGACCGUAUUUUCGGUCUCAUCACCAGAGAAUUUGUCAAACUUCGGAAUCUUCCAAUUUGCCGGAUAUGGAUGAUCUACAUCAAUAUUUGCAGGAUAUAGAGAUCUGAACACAGGCCGCAUUGCCGGCCUUGCACCUACUCCGAAAGUAUUUCAGAUAGUUUCUUCAAUCUGUGCAUAUAUUUCAUUAUUGUUCCUCUGUAAGGGAACUUGUGCUUGUGCUUGUGUUAUAUUCGAUCCAUGUGGUAGACCGAAAUUUUGUACUACAAGGUUAAUCCCUUAUACAUUCGGGGCUUGCCCCUCAGCCCUAGUCCCUGUGUUUUGGGGCUGAUAUGCUGUCAUUGGCGGAGGAGGUGGUAACCCCCACGCCAUCUCUGGUUGUUGAUCGGCAUUGGCAACGGCCGGUCUGUUAGUUGCCUGGAAUGGUGCCCCCUGGUAUUGGAGUUGUCCAUUUGCCGGUAUCAUAGGAUUUUGUAACACUGGUAUUAUUACAGGCCCUUGCAAUUCUGCAACAGGUUACUCGUUACGAGUCAAUAAUUGCCCUAUUCGAGCAAUAUUCUCGUUAGAGGCUGUAAUUGCGGCCAACACUGCAUCUAACCGUGCAGUGCUUCUAUGACUAUUUUGAUCCAAAACUUGUAGGAGCCGUGUCAUUUGUCCAAGCGCUUGAGCCAAACUAGACUUUUAUUGGUCAGACUGACCACUAGUCUCGCUUUCAACGGGCAAGACUGCUUGGCGCUCUCCAUCAUUACCUGAAUUACUGGGUUGUUGAUCGCUCCCGGAACUUCUGGGAAUGACCCUAUUGCGCAAAUUCAUGGCGUUAUCGUCAGCCAUUAUCUUAAUACAGAAAUAAAUUUACCUAAAUUGUGUCCCAUCGGGCGUGCCAAAAAUUGUUACAUGCUGAUCCUCCUGACCAUUGACCUAGUCAAAGAUCUUUCUCAGGGAACGUGUAGGGAUGCGGAACGGCUACGAAUGGUGACCCUCGAAGUUUACGCCCUUCGACCUGAUCAAGCGAUUCGACUGAUGAGAGAUCGGAUCAGCCGAGUUCGUAAAUCUUUACUGUGGAAUCAGUUCGGCUGGAUGAGCCGAAUGUAUGAACUGCUUAAAGACUUGAGUCAGCAAAUGAGCCGAAUGGAAGAAAUACACAAAGAUUACUCGGCCUAAAGAGCCGAAUGCUUUUUAUAUAUUGCAGGUAACUUGCUAGAAUAGUACAAAGAUUGAGUAUGCUUGAUGGCAUACAGACUCGGUUGAUUUAAUUAGGAAUCUACUUCUAAGGAAAAAUAGUAAAUGCAGGAAAGUAGAAAAUUACAAAUAGACUACUCCUAGAACAUGCGAGAAAAUUACAAGGAAAAUAAGGGUGGUCUUCUAUUCUCGGGGAAAAGACCCUUUUUAGGACGUUAUUGGCCUAUUUAUAGAUCGCCCUUAUUAAUAAGUUAUUGAUCGGCCACUACUUCUAUUUUCCCGAGCCACUUUCAGCCGAUCGGAACCGCCUGCAACUGCUUGCGGUUACUAUAACUUUCCUUAAAUCGCGCGGUUUAGGACUCCUCCGAUGCUCUUGGUGCACAGUAAAAUUACUCUUAAUCAAUAAAACUGAAUGGAGUACCGACGUAUCACAUGUCCGCGCCUUAUUGGCCCAACACUAUCGAUAGAACGGAAGCCUUCGUGCUACCAAGUUACUUUCGAUAACGGGGCUUUCAAAUCAACGACCGGCUCCAUUAGACUUGAUCUACACUAUUGAAAGCUUUUUCGCCGCCCGUCGGGCGCCUUGGUGUGUGGAUUGAAAGCUGAGGUGCACGGUAUGUUCCUCUCCUCAGGCCUGGAUGUGGGCGGUAGUCCGCUGAUGAUUGACUUAAGACCGAGUCGGGUGGUAUAUCUUGGCUAAGGUAAAAGAAUCUUAAGAAUGGAUUGUGAAAUAGAAAGUAGAAAUGGUAAAUCUACUUGCAUGGAUUUCAUUUUGCAUUUAGUUGAGGUAUAAGCAUGAUGUUUUUUAGUUGCUUACAGUUAUAUGUUUAUAUAUAUUGGACUAACUUGCUAUGUUGCUUCCUUUGAACAUGGAGAGUCGAGCUCUUCCCUUGGGUGGCCGUACCUACUGGGAACUAUUUUUAUAGUUCUCACCCCCAUAUUUUUCAGGUCCACACGCGAGCGGCGCGACGACGCGAGGAAAUGGCGUAGCUCGAUAGAUAAUGCCCCAUCACUUGAGACCAGAGAUAGAUGUACCCGGAGUACGCAUAACUUAGGGUAUAGAAAGGAAGAAACAAAAUUGUAAUAAAGUUGAUUGUAUUUGGAAGAAAAGAAUGUAAAUGUUAUGUGAAAUGUGACGAAUGCUUGUAAUAGUUUAGUAAUUAUGUUUGAUGCCUUCUUUAUGCAAUCGGUGUAUGAAUUUUGUUCCUAUUUGGAACCACUUGAAUUAUACUGAUUGUGACGUCUUGGGCAGACAGGGGAAACUCUGUCCGUUCGGCGGUCUGUCGGGGCGCCCGAAUCCGACCAAAGAAGCGGAUCUCGGGACGUGACAGCCGCCGCCGAUCAUGCCCCGGCUGGCCAACCGCCAUCUCAGCCGCCAACUUUUUUCUUUCCUUCUCCUCCACCACCAACUUCAUCUCCUUCUCUGCCAGAGUCAAGCCAGAGAGCAUCUCCACCCUCGGGGCCCCCUUAUGGCACCUUCCCCAACUUUCGACGAGGCUCUCUCGUCAGCUGCAGCCGCCCCCGAGCGCCGCCACGCAACUCCUACAAAGUUGGUUCCACUUAGGGUAGGUGCGGUCGCGCCGUGUUGCAUCGCCUCCACCGCCGCCGUCAGCCACUUCCUUCCCUCCCUUUCGAUCCCAGAGAAAGCUCGCACCCCUUUCCUGGUUGCUCCGUCCAUCGCCAUGGCCGGAGAAGGAAGACGAGCCUGAUUUGAGGCUGUGCUGGUUUGGGUUGUCCCCGCACCGCCACCGCCACCGGCUAGGGAGAGCGCCGACCCUUCCCCGUCUCCCACACCCCCUGCAGCCGGGGCACCCACUGCUGAGCCGCCGCCAGUCGUGCUCGGCCCCUUUGCUACCAGCAAACCCGGUUAGGGCUAUUUUGGGUAGUUUUCACUCUUCCGGCGAUCCAAGGCGGUUCUCACACCUUUGGAGGUGAGCACGGUGACCCUAGUCAGUGUUGAUCACAAUGCUCACCUCAUUUGCUGUCGGCGAGUCCCAGAUCAGCGGGUUCGGUCUUGUUGCUCCCCGUGCACAUCGAUCGAUGAACUUCGACUCACUCUCACGCAUCCCACAGUGACCCGCGGUGCUUCGGACAGUGAGCAUAGCCUCCGCUUUCUCGAGACCUGUCAGCCCGCGUCUCGGCUGAUCUCGAAAGCACUCGGUUAGCGAUAACGAGCCAUUAAACUCUACUAAGUGCAUAUAUUAAUGUGAUUAUAUGUAAUAGUAAGGCCUUUCAUGCAAUUUGUCACUUUGCGGCUGCUGUAGGCAGCAUGUAUGUGUGGUUUAUGACCUCUGAACUGAUCGUCCAAGGCCCGAACCUUUCACGGAGACCGAAUAUCGGUUUCGGUGCAUUUUUCAGCGAAAUCUGUCGGUGGAACACGGUUUUGGGUCGGAAUACUGCCACUGAGCAUUGUUGGCUGGUCACCUACAUCGUCUAGAAUGUCCAAAGAUGUCGGGUGAGCGGCGAAGGAUUUCGGUGUCGAAAUUGACACUUUCGGAAACCCGGAUCGGAGUGAUUGUCUGACGAUAAUCGUUUCGACGUGUGACCUUGGUGUUUGUUGCUAGAACAUUCAAAAUGAUAUAUUUUGAGGCAGCGUAUGACUCGUGACAUGAGUCAGUGAGUUUUGGGACACUUUGUGGGUGCUGGCGGUGUCCCGAUGCGAUUUUCGGAACUUCUGGCAGAUUACGGGGAUCGGUCCUUGGGAAACCAAUUCCGUGGUGAGUUCUGGGGAUUGUGAGUACUAUGAUUUGAGUCGGUGGGUUGGACCCUGACCCUGUGGGCCUUUCGUAGGUCCGGUCGACGAUCUUGCGCGAUCUGGAGACAGACGCGACACUAUAAUGGGUAGGUACUUCGAUCUGAAGUCGUACUAGUGGUGCACGCUUGGUGACGUUCUCUCCACCCUCUCUCUAUAUGUUUCUCGUAGUACUUCGAUUAUAAAGCCUAGCACCGUGUGACUUUACUUCAUGUUGCUCUACUCAGUUAACUUUACUUUAUGUUGCUCUACUCGGUUACCCUUAUGUUUGAUUAUCAUGACCUAGUUGGUUGGUUUCGAGAUUCUGGUUGUUUGAUGACCUAUUCGGUCGGCAUACCCUGAGAGUUGAUUAUUGGCUACUUGCCGACGGCUACUGAUCAUAUUUGUAUCGAUCGCCACUACUCGUAUGCAUUUCACGUACACCAGCUGUGUGGCCAACGCAACGGUGUUCUUUUCCGAAAAGGUGGUCGAACUUCCGACCCGUGAGCCCAGGAACUUAUGCUAGGAUUAUAUGCCAUUUAGAGCGGCGUGGAACUUGCCUGAGGUCCUUAGACAGACACGGCGGAUUCUGGGUUGCGUAUUUUGGAUUGACCGUCCAGUUGAUGCAUAUUAUUUACAGUAGUGGUAGUUGCAUAUGUAUAUAUAUCUUGUUUCCUUUUGGCAUUGCUACUGUAUUACUUUUUACUGUUAUAUUUUUUGUUACCAGUGAGUACACUCAACCUCGUCGACUUUCGGUACCCACUGGGAGAUCCUUGUUUGGUUUCUCACCCUCGCCCCCUCUAUUUUGGCUGAACCAGAUUAUACAGCGGGGAGAGCGAGGCUCUCAUAUUGUUGACUGUUGUGGGUGGAGUGCAGCUCACGACAAGGUCGGUUUAGGCUAGCGAGAUAAGUCUCACAUCACCUGGUACUUGUGAGUCUAAGCCUGAUGAGGACGUCAGGGCUUAAGGGGGGAAGAAUGUGAGACCCAAGAUAGUCCUAUAUAUAAGAUAUAGUAAGGCUAAAACUCUUAAACCGGCUUAAGCAUUUUGAGCGGUGGCUAAGCCUAAGAGGUUAAGAGAGUUAAGUGUGCUAAGACGGGAAGUUGGGGUGUUACAUGAGAAGAACGUUGCACUCUUUGAGAUGAAAAUUGUACUUUUUGAGAUGAAAGUUACACUCUUUGGUGAAAGCUCACUAAUGACGUCUAAACAUUAUUUGAAUCCUUGGAAGUUUUCGACUAUGACAUUGACAUCGACAUCGACGAUGAGGAAGUCGUCGGCGACCACAAAAAGAAAUUCUACUCGUUGAAGAGAUCGACAAUGCGGCGACACCCAGAAGUGCGUGCACCGUCGAGCGCCUAGAGAAGCGCCUCGGCCUUGGCGGCGCCUGGACACGCGCGCGCCAUCGAGCACCCGGAGAAGCGCCUCAGCCUUGGUGACGCCCGGACAACUGCGUGCCGUCGAGUUCUCGGAGAAGCACCUCAGCCUUGGCCUUCCCCCUCCUGCCGCUGUCGUUGCCCCCCUCCGCUUGCUCCCGUACGAAAAGAAGAAUAAAAAAUAAAAAAAAUUCUUCUUGAAAGAUCAUUAUGUAUCAUCGUUACUACAGGAAAAGCAAAGAAUCAAAGAACAAAGAAGAGAAAGAUGAAGUUGCACUUUUAAUAUAAAGUUACAAUGUUUCAGAAAAAAUUGCACUGUUUGAGAAAAAUGUUGUACUCUUUAAAACGAAAAUUAUAUUCUUUGAGACGAAAGUUGUACUCUUUGGGCGAAAAUUGCAUUAAAUUUUUAUUAUUUGAACCAUUAUAUACUACUAAAAAAAAUUUUUUUUUUGUAAUUUUUUUAGUAUUUAUCAUUUUGGAUCAUAUUGAAUGGUACUAAAAUUACUAGAAAUAAUAAAUACUGUUAAAUAUAAUUAAAGUUUAUUUAUUAAGGAUAGAAUGAUUAUUUUUUAAUUGAUUACCCUUCAAACUCUAAUAAUUUGGCUUUGCGUUAUUUUUUCUGAAAUUAUAUAAUUUGCGAUCCUGGUAACUGGCCGUCAUUCACAGCUUUAAUGAAAUUUACAGCUUCAUUAGCUGAGAUAAUGUUCAAAAUAGUGAAAUUUAGGGUAGAUUACACUUUUGGUCUGCAAGGCAUGCGAUGCGAUGCUUUGGUCCUCUAAAUUUAAUUUGUUAUAAUUUUUGGCAUGAACUUUAUAAAUUAUUACAAUAAAAUUUCACAAUCCGAUUAAUUUAGUUAACUAAAUAUUAAUGUAUUGCUAAUAUGGUGGUGAUAUAGUAUUGCUGUAAUAGAUGAUGUGACAAUAAUUAAGAUGCCAUAUCAAGUUUAUAUCAACGAUUUGUCAAUAUUUAGCAAGUUAAAUUAGGUUGUGGGACUUAAUUGUAAUAUUUAUAAAGUUUAAGUUAGAAAUUACAACAAGUUAAUGUUUGAUCACCAAAAUGUCACAUGUCUUAUAGUGUGAGAACCAAAAAUGUAAUUUACUUUUAGAAUUUAAUAUAAUCACUAUUGAAUUUCAAAAAUUCCAAAUUAUUUGAUGAAAAUGAUUUGGAAAAAAAAAAGAAAAAAAAAUAAGUUGUAGUGUGAUGGGAAAAUAAAAACAUAUAAAUACAAAAAAAAUUGAAGGUAUGCUUCAAAAUGGCCUAUAUUUACUUGAGAGUUUCUUAAACAAUUUUUUUCUUUUGACCUUUCAACUAUUAAGGGCCCAUCUUGAACAAAAAAGCGUGGGGGAAAAUGCAUACAUAUAGAUGAUAGGGAUAAUUUUAUACAGCUCUCUGUAAACAUAUCAAAUAGCAUAUAUAUUUCUAUAAAUUCAUGUUUUUAAAUUUAUCCCUUCAAAAGUUCAGUGAUGUUCAUAUUUCUCUUUCUGAUUUAUUAUUGUUAGCCCACUGUUUGUUUUUUAAUAGAAGUUAAGUGAAAUAUCAAUUUUGUCAUUAUAAAUAUGUUCCUCCAAAAGUUUGUGCAAAAUGUUCUCCCCCAAAAAAAUCCUCAAUAUUCAUCUUCUUCCUUUACAAAAACUAACCCAAUCUACUAUUGUUGCAAACUCUUCUCUAUCUCUUCUCUUACUUUUUUUCUCCUUUAGCUAUCUAAUACAGAUUCUCCGGUGCUCAAUAUUGGGCAAAGUAACACAUGUCGUGGAUGAAUGAGGAUGAAGAAAUCAUAGUUAUAGAUUCAAAACUAUCAUGAAGGAGAGAGAGGAAGAGGAAGAGGAAGAGGAAGAGAAAGAGGAAGAAGAGUUUUCAUUGCUAGGAUUUUAAUUGAGAAAAUAAGGUAUAAUAUCAAAGGAUGAAAGAUGAAUUUAUUUCACUCACUAACCAAAUUUAAUUAUUUUAUCUAUGGUUAAUUACAUUUUUCUACUGAACAUUAACAGCAAGGGUAUAUUUAAAAUCAUUAGAACUUUUUUAGGGAUAAACAUGAAAACUUGAACUUUGUAGAGAUAUAUCUACUAUUCGAUAUAUUUAUAAAGAGAUGUAUGAAAAUAUCCCUAAACGAUAUGCUAUUUUAUUUUCUAGUGAGAUUGUAAAAAUUAUAAUGUGGCCAUCUGCAUCAUGUAAUAUUUUGUAGAAAAAAAAUAAAGAAGCUUCUCAAUCAUACUUUCUCAUUACGCAUAGUGCAUCUUUUCUGCAAUUUCAAACAGAAUUUAAGAGCCUAUUUGGUAUUGAGAGACACUUGAUAUUAAAAUAAAAGAAAAUAGGGUUAAAAGAAUACAGCGUUACACUUCUCCAUUUCCCAAUAGAAUCUGCAUAAAAUAUUUAUUAAUUGAUAAUUUAAAUUCACGUUUUGGGCCUAUUAAAAUAUUACGAGUCUAGACAUGAGAAGUAAGGUUACAUAUAAAUAUUAAAAAUAUCAUUUUCUAUUAGUUUAAGUUUAUAGAAUACAAUGAUUGAUUCAUAUAAUUUAAAAAUGCGUAAAAUAAAUUAAAUAAUUAUUUAUCGUACUUUUUUACUGUAUGCAAUAUAUGUGAGUAGGGGUGGAAAUGAGCCGAGCUCGAGCGAGCUUACCUCAGCUCAAGCUUGGCCUGAAAUUAAUUUCGAGCAUAAAUUUAGGCUCAAGCUUGGCUUGAAAUUAAUUUCGAGCUGAGCUCGAGCGAGCCUAACUUCGAGUCGAGCGAGCUCGAGCCCUAAACGAGCUGCUUGAAAUUCUUAACAUCAUGCAAUCUAUACUUUAAUUUUUAUAAAAUAUUAUCUAAAAUUUGAUAAAAAAAAAUCUAAUAGUUUAACAUAUAAAAUAAAUGCAUGAAAUACGAUAUUAUAAUACUANGCAUGUAUAUAUUCUAAUGGGAUAGCAUAUAGUUCUCACUGUGGGCUUUUAAUUCUAUAUAAAAUAUAUAUAUAUAUAUAUAUAUAUAUAUAUAUAUAGAGAGAGAGAGAGAGAGAGAGAGAGAGAGAGUUUGGUUACUAUAUAUACUUUUAUGAGUAUAAACCUCUUUAUACUUAUAAGUUUUCAACCGUUAGAUCUAUUCUUUUAAUCAUUUUCGUUCAUUAAAUCAUACUAUUCAACGAACCAUCCACUCAAUUUUAGAGGGCCACUAUUAUUCUAAUCGCACAUCCAACGACUGAAAAUUUAUAAGUAUAAAAGGGUUUAUACUUAUAAGAGAGUAUAGUAACCCGAGCAUAUAUAUAUAUAUAUAUAUAUAUAGAAUUAGGCUACUAUACUAUUAAUAGCAAAAAUCGCUUGCUAUUAGGUUUUCGGCCCUUGGAUGAAAGGAUGUGCGAAGUUAGGAUGAUAGUAGCCUCCUAGGGUUGAGUGGAUGACUAGUUGAAUAUUAUGAUUUAACGGAUGAAAAUGGCUAAAGGGAUAGAUCUAACAGCAGAAAACUCGAUAGCACCAAAUGCUUGGUACUAUCGAUAGUAUAAUAGCCGGACUCUAUAUAUAUAUAUAUAUAGGCAGAUCUAACGGCAAAAAAUUUAAUAGUACAAAGCGCUUAGUACUAUAGAUAGUAUAGAUAGUAUAGUAGCCGGACUAUAUAUAGAGAGAGAGAGAGUCCGACUACUAUAUUAUCGAUAGUACUAAAUGCUUGGUACUAUCGAAUUUUGUGCCGUUAGAUCAUAUUAUUCAACUAACCCCACCCACUCAAUCCUAGAGGAUCACUGUCAUUCUAACCGCACAUUCCUUCAUCCAAAGGUCGAAAACCUAAUAGGAAGUGGUUGGUACUAUUAAUAGUAUAGUAGACUAUAUAUAUAUAUAGAGAGAGAGAUAGAGAGAGAGAGAGAGAGAGAGAGUUGAGCUAGAAUGCUAUCGAUAGCAAACGGGCUCCGUUGCCACCCAUUUGUUUUCGAUGAUGGAGCCUCCAAAUCGACGAUCGAUACCGAUGAACAUGAUCUAUAUCACUUGAAAUGUUUAGAAAUUAAAUUUCAUACAUUUUCGAUAUUGUUCUCUUAUCCAUCGAGUGGACACAAAAAUGAACGGCUUAAAAUGAAUAUUCUUUAAAAAAUAAUGAUAGGAGUCUUGUAAUCAAGAUCAAGAGUAUAGCUCUUGUUUAAAAUAGUUUAAAGAAUUUUCUAACAAAAAUUCAAUUGAUUUGGAUAUCUUUACGCCGUUAAACGAGAAAACGUCUCAUAUCUACCCUUAAAAUUACAAAUUUUGAAACGCUUUGAUCAUUAGGCAAAUGAUGUCGAAAAGAUUUGAAAUUUGAUUUCUAAACACUUCAAGUGGUAUAGAUCAUGUUCAACGGUGCCGAUCGUCGAUUUGGAGGCUCCAGCAUCGAAAACAAAUGGGUGGCAAAAGUGCCGGUUUGCUAUCGAGAGUAUUCUAGCUCAACUCUAUAUAUAUAUAUAUAUAUAUAUAUAUAUAUAUAUAUAUAUAGCAGGGCUGCUGUGCUCUCAGGGGCAUGGAGGCCUUCGUGCUCCUGAGUCGUUUUCGAUGAUGAAAUUUUCGAAUCGGCGAUCAGCUCCGUUAGAGUUGAUCUAGGGUAUUUGAAGUUUCUACAAAAUAAUUUUUGCGAUUUUUUUGAUAUUAUUUACCUAGUAAUCGAAAGGAUUCAAAAUCAAUAAUUUUUAAUGGUUGAUAUCUGCCGUUCUCAAGUUUAACGGUGUAGAAGUAUUCAAAUCAGAUGAAAUUUUGAUACAAAAUUCUUUAUACUAUCUACAAUAAGAUCAAUAUUUCUGAUCGAAAAUUUUAGCGCCAUAUCACCACUUUUUAUAGAAUUUUUAUUUUCAGCCGUUAAAAAUUAUUGAUUUUGAAUCCUUUCGAUCGUUAGGUAAAUGAU